CUGAGCCACAAAUGGUGAUCACGUUUAUUGGGUCUAAAGCGUCCGUAGCCGGUCUAACAAGUUCCUGGUGAAAUCUGGCAGCAAACUGUCAGGCAUGCUGGGAAUACUACUAGACUUGGAAUCGGGAGAGGUCGGGGGUAUUCCACGUGUAGGGGUUAAAUCCUUUAAUCCGUGGAGGACCACCUGUGGCGAAGGCGCCCGACUAGAACGAGUUCGACGGUGAGGGACGAAAGCGUGGGGAGCAAAUGGGAUUAGAUACCCGUGUAGUCC
rnacentral:rRNA from 1 species